UACGUAGGUGACCAGCGUUGUCCGGAUUUACUGGGCGUAAAGAGCGCGCAGCGGUCGUUCAAGUCGAGUGUGAAAGCCCCCGGCUCAACUGGGGAGGGUCAUUCGAUACUGAUCGACUUGAAGGCAGGAGAGGGAAGCGGAAUUCCCGGUGUAGUGGUGAAAUGCGUAGAUAUCAGGAGGAACACCGGUGGCGAAGGCGGGUCUCUGGGCAACAACUGACGCUGGAGGAGCGAAAGCGUGGGGAGCGAACAGG
rnacentral:rRNA from 1 species